UACGUAGGGUGCAAGCGUUGUCCGGAAUUAUUGGGCGUAAAGAGCUCGUAGGCGGUCUGUCGCGUCGGCUGUGAAAACCCGGGGCUCAACCCGGGCCUGCAGUGGGUACGGGCAGACUAGAGUGCGGUAGGGGAGAUUGGAAUUCCUGGUGUAGCGGUGAAUGCGCAGAUAUCAGGAGGAACACCGAUGGCGAAGGCAGGUCUCUGGGCCAUUACUGACACUGAGGAGCGAAAGCGUGGGGAGCGAACAGG
rnacentral:rRNA from 1 species